UUUAAUACAUCAUUAGCAAAUGAGUUAAAAAAUAAUCUCGCUGCAGUUGCCAAGCCCAAUACACCUCAAAAUAUAGUUCCUUUCAUGAAAGACAUGGUCGAUAUAUGCUCAAGCUAUCUCGCUCAAUAUGCUGAAUUUAGCAAAGAUAAGGGGCCAGCCUUUAGGAUUUUAUUGAAAGAGAUGGGUGUAAAAGACAAGGAAAAAUUAUACCAAAAAGGAAAAGCCCAACGUACUUAUGCAAAAGCUGCAAACGAAUUAAAAAACGCUAAAGGCUUAGAAAGCGAUCACGAUGACCCUAACU